rnacentral:rRNA from 1 species
GAUCCUGGCUCAGGAUGAACGCUAGCGACAGGCUUAACACAUGCAAGUCGAGGGGCAGCAUAGAAGUAGCAAUACUUGGUGGCGACCGGCGCACGGGUGAGUAACGCGUAUGCAACCUACCUAUCAGAGGGGAAUAACCCGGCGAAAGUCGGACUAAUACCGCAUAAAACAGGGGCACCGCAUGGUGAUAUUUGUUAAAGAAAUUCGCUGAUAGAUGGGCAUGCGUUCCAUUAGGUAGUUGGUGAGGUAACGGCUCACCAAGCCGACGAUGGAUAGGGGAACUGAGAGGUUGGUCCCCCACACUGGUACUGAGACACGGACCAGACUCCUACGGGAGGCAGCAGUGAGGAAUAUUGGUCAAUGGGCGGGAGCCUGAACCAGCCAAGUCGCGUGAAGGGAAAAGAAGGAUCUAUGGUUCGUAAACUUCUUUUGCAGGGGAAUAAAGUGCAGGACGUGUCCUGUUUUGUAUGUACCCUGAGAAUAAGGAUCGGCUAACUCCGUGCCAGCAGCAGC